rfam:Prevotella bergensis DSM 17361 genomic scaffold SCAFFOLD2, whole genome shotgun sequence.
ACAGUGCCCCGGCACCAUCGCUGGCAUCCAAGGAGAUGCGAGAGGAAAGUCCGGGCAGCACAGGGUGCCCCACUUCUGAAAGUAGAAGCUAUUGGUGACAGUAGGUGAAGGUAGAAGAAAAUAACCGCCACUCCUUGUGGGUGGUAAGGGUGAGAAGGUGGUGUAAGAGACUACCGGGUGACGGGUGACCGCCAUGCCGUGCCGUCUGGGGGCUGCAAGUUCAUGUAUACCGUCGUAAUAAGGGUUGCCCGCCCGAUGCUCGCGCAACGACGGAGGGUAGAACGCUUGAGUUGCAGGGUGACUUGCAAAUUAGAUAAAUGAUGGGCUCCUUUCUUCGGGGAGGAUACAGAACCCGGCUUAUAGGGACACUGUCUUG